rnacentral:rRNA from 1 species
UACGUAGGGGGCAAGCGUUGUUCGGAAUCACUGGGCUUAAAGGGCGCGUAGGCGGGCCUUCAAGUCCGGGGUGAAAUCCUCCAGCCUAACUGGAGAAGAGCCUCGGAGACUGAGGGCCUCGAGGAGGGUAGGGGCAAGCGGAACUAUGGGUGGAGCGGUGAAAUGCAUUGAGAUCGGAAAGAACACCAACGGCGAAAGCACUCUGCUGGGCCGACACUGACACUGAGAGACGAAAGCUAGGGGAGCAAAUGGG